rnacentral:lncRNA from 1 species
UAAAUACAACACGGGAGAUGAUCCAUUUGAUUACCUCAGAGCAGUUAGGAUGAUAACCGGUGAAUUGGGAGCAGAUGAUAGGAGAGCCAUUGAGAUGGCAGGUUUCACAAUAAAAUGCAAGAAGGCCAGAGAAUGGUUUAAGAAUUAUGUGGAGCCUAGAAUGGACAGUAUGUCAUGGGGAGAGUUCGCCAAUGAGUUUGCAGGGUGGGCUUUUCCUGACAGUUCAAGGGAGAUGAAAGUAAUUGAAUUUGAACAGUUGCG